rnacentral:rRNA from 1 species
AGUGAACGCUGGCGGUAGGCCUAACACAUGCAAGUCGAACGGCAGCACAGUAAGAGCUUGCUCUUACGGGUGGCGAGUGGCGGACGGGUGAGGAAUACAUCGGAAUCUACUUUUUCGUGGGGGAUCACGUAGGGAAACUUACGCUAAUACCGCAUACGACCUUCGGGUGAAAGCAGGGGAUCUUCGGACCUUGCGCGAUUGAAUGAGCCGAUGUCGGAUUAGCUAGUUGGCGGGGUAAAGGCCCACCAAGGCGACGAUCCGUAGCUGGUCUGAGAGGAGGAUCAGCCACACUGGAACUGAGACACGGUCCAGACUCCUACGGGAGGCAGCAGUGGGGAAUAUUGGACAAUGGGCGCAAGCCUGAUCCAGCCAUACCGCGUGUGUGAAGAAGGCCUUCGGGUUGUAAAGCCCUUUUGUUGGGAAAGAAAAGCAGCAGGUUAAUACCCCGCUGUUCUGACGGUACCCAAAGAAUAAGCACCGGCUAACUUCGUG